CUGACUCUGUAGCUCAGUUGAGAGCACUCGCCUAGCAUGCCCCCAGCAUAGCAUAAAUCCAACAAACAUGCCUAUGAUCUUGGCACUUGGGAGGUAGAGGAGCAGAGAUGUUAGAGUCAUCCCUGGCUACAUAAAAAGGAAACUGAGGCAGAGAGGAAAAAUCAAUUAAGACAGUCAUCUGGGACAGAGUCAUCGCUUAGACCCUCCCCCUCACCCCCUCUUGUUUUCAUGGAGAUGGUAGACUGAGGGGUCCAUUCACCCUGGGAUAAGUCCUUGAUGAUAGCAGAGGAGUCUGUGAGGUAUUGCCAAGCCCAGACAGCACCAUGGAGAGACAAGAACAUAUGGCAGUUGUCCCAGGAUGACAGUGUGACCCAGGACACCAAGAACAUGGGACUUGCAGCUCUGAGUUUUUGGACAACAGGACUCCUGUGCACUGGCCCAGCAGAUGGACUGGUCCCUGUCAUGGAGGGCCUUCUCUGAGCUCCAUGGCACCAAUGAUGGUGUGACAUAGCAGGUAUCCCAGGAUGACCUUGAACUCCUGAUCCUUCUGCCUCCACCCCCUGAAUGCUGACAUUGUGGGCUUGUAUCACAACUGGCUUCUGGCUGGGUCCUGUUAACUUCUGAAGACUAAGUGAAGUAGAUCUUAGGAAAUGUCAUGGCUGCAAAGAUUCUGAAGCAAGAGAAGAGAGAGCAGACAGGCAGGUGGAUGGGGCAGAUGAUGGCCCAGGCUGUGACCUAUGGAAGCCCUUGAGGAGUGGAGCGAGGGAAGCUAUGGCCUUCUGUCCCCGGUACUUGGCUGAUCAGAGCACCUAGAGACUGAGAAACCUGGAGGCACGGUAAAAAGCACGCCCAAAGGCCUGUCACCUGGAUGAUUCUAGAACCUUCCACGUUGAUGAUUAGCCAUCAGGAACAGUGGUCCUGGAGCAAGCUGGGGUGGGGCUCUGCCCAUUUUAGAGGAUACUAGGAGUUCUCUAAAGAGUAGUUCCUGGGGGUUCUCCAUCUAAGGAAGAAACCACUCAGCUCAGAGACCAGUGCACCUAAAUUGGUUCUUCUCUCAGCCAACCAGUUCAAAAAUCAUCUCCUCUGCGAAGACUUCAUGAAUACAUCCCCUUCUGCUCCUUCUAAAAUCUACCCACUGCCCCUCCUGAGGAGCCCUACAGCACACUGUUCAAGCCCACUACAUACUAAUGGUAAUGCUUUGUAAUUGGUGAGCUGUGCUUUCCCCAUCAGCAGAGGCCUUUUGGAAGGGUGUGGUCCUGCUCCUGUGCCCCUAGCCUC
ensembl:lncRNA